GACAGAGGGUGCAAACGUUGUUCGGAAUUACUGGGCGUAAAGCGAGUGUAGGCGGUUUGGUAAGUCGGAUGUGAAAGCCCCGGGCUCAACCCGGGAAGUGCACUCGAUACUGCCAAGCUAGAGUAUCGGAGAGGUUGGUGGAAUUCUCGGUGUAGAGGUGAAAUUCGUAGAUAUCGAGAGGAACACCGGUGGCGAAGGCGGCCUGCUGGGCAGUGGCUGACACUGAGGCGCGACAGCGUGGGGAGCAAACAGG
rnacentral:rRNA from 1 species